rnacentral:lncRNA from 1 species
CCGCCAUGCUGCUGCUUCUCAUUGUCAUCUUCCAAUCCCUUCUCGCCCCACCCCUCUCGACCACCCAUCCUUCGCCUCCGCCGCCCAAACCACAGAAAAGUAAGGAAGAGAUGGGGUUUUGAUGGUGGCGCCACCACCAUACAACCAAUCGAUGAUUUCGGCAAUGCUACCGACCUAUGCCAUCUCUGCCAUCACGCUGCUCCUUAUCAUCAUUGUCGCCUUCCAAUCCCUCCUUAAUCUUUCCCUAACCCAACCACUCCUAACCAAAUGAAGGCAAUUGAACUAAAGAAUGGCAAUUGGUAGAGAUGUGGUUCUAACAAUGGCGAUGCUGCCACCAUGACUAAUGGACGAUUCUGACAAUGUGGGUGAUCUACGCCCUCUUGGUUUUCAUCUUCCACUCACUCCUUGCAUCGCCCCUCCUCAAUCACCAUUCCUUCCCUCCUUAGGAGCUGGAUAGUUGAUAUGAAAAUAGGAGAUCUUAGAUUGAGGCAAAAGAUUAAUUAUUUUAUAGCGAAGUGGAAAAUAAGUUGUAGUGAUGAUUGUGGAGAGAAAAACAUUGUAGAGAGAAGGAUAGAAAGUGGAAAAUGUGUAAAAGAGAACUUGGACUUUUAUUACUUUCUCUCAAACUUCAUAGUUACAAAUGCGG